rnacentral:lncRNA from 1 species
ACGGAGCUGCCUCUUUCUCCCCCUUUCACGUGCAGCGUUACGCUCGCGCGUUGCUUCUUUUCUCUCUUCACACACGGUGAUGCCCCUCUCUUCACAGACGAAAUGCCCCAAACGGUGCUGACCAUUCACCUCUUCACGAGCAACGCUGGUAUUCUCUCUCUUCACACGCAGCGAUACCUUUCGUGGACAUCGAUACUCCCUUGACACGCACAGCGGUAAGCUUCCCCUUUUACUGCCGCGCGCGCUUCGUUCCUAUCAAACUCCUACCGUCGUAUGUGCUUCUGUGGCCAGGAAAUCGUGGUCCUUACACUUUUAAUAUUGAAAACCCUCUAAUUGAUCGUCUCGACACCGAGAUGUCUAUCUAUGAAAAAACAGAAAAAGUUUUUAAGUCUCAAAAAUAGUGCAUCUUGCAACACAUUAUCUAGACCGUCCAUUUUCAUGAUUUACAUAUGUUUAUAGAUUUACUCGAUUUUAACCAUUUGUAGGGUUUAAAAUUCUAUAAUUAGAUAUGAAAAUAGAUUUUCAGAUAAUCCAAAGACGUGUUUUAUACAAAAAUUACAUGUUAUGAUAAAAUUUGGAGGUGCACCUUAAUUAGAUUGUUUAAGGUUGCAACCUUAUGGAAACCACAUCCCAUAUAUAAUAUUAUGUUUUAUAUAUAUUAAAUGUGGGUGCGGUUUGUAUAGAGCCGAGGCUCUAAACACUCAAAUUAGAGCCCACCUUCAAAUAGUGUCCAGAAAUAUGAUUUUAAUCCUGGAAAGUUUUGUGAUAGCCUCAAAUUAUAUUUUCAUCUUUAGUUAUAAAAUUUAAAUCUUCAAAAAUAGUGUAGAUCAAGUAGGUCUAUGAAAACAUGAAAAUCUUGAAAAAUGACAGUCCAACAAUGCAUUACAUGAUGCACUAUUCCAAAACUUGAAAUCCAUUUUUUUCUCAUGUCCAUGUCCAUGUAUCUUGAUGUCGAGAUGAUCAAUUUGAUGAUAUUUGGGUAUCAAAACAACCUCUUCUAGUGAAAAUUUUUAUGUGGGCUCUAAUUUGAUUUUUUAGAGCCUAGGCUCUAUAUAAGCUUUUCCCCUUAUAUAUUUAUAUUUAAAUUAUUAAUAUAUAUUUGUAUUACAUUAAUACAUUUUAGCAUAUAAUAAUAAUAUUUUAAUUACAUUUAAAUAGUAUUUACUUAAGGGUGCACUUGGCAUACGGAUGCAUCCGUAACUGUAGAGGUAAGGUGCGCCUUCAAAUUUUAUCAUGGUAUAUAAUUUUGAUGUAAAAUGUUAUUAGGAUUAUCUCAAAAUCUAUUUUUCUAUGUAAUUAUAAAAUUUUAAAUUUAAAAAAUGGUUAAAAUCAAGUAGAUCUAUAAACAUAUGAAAAUCUUGAAAAUGGACGGUGUAGAUAAUAUGUUGUAAAAUGCACUAUUUCUGAGACUUAAAAUCUUUUUAAAUGUCAUGGUCAUACAUCUUGAUGUUGAGAUGAUCAAUCAAAGGGUUUUUCAACAUUAAAACUACUUUUUCUGAUGGAUUUUUGAGGUGCAUCCGUAGUUCUACAUUAUAAGGUUGCAACCUUAUAUAAACUUUUUCUUUUAAUUAAAUAUAACUAUAUAUUCGAAUAGGUUGUCGACACAAGUACCUAGAACUUCUUUAACAUUUGAGCAAGUUAUCAAACACAUAGACUUAGAACUUCUUUAUGAGAUCCUCUUUCUUCCCGACGAAGAAGAACUUUCAAUUUUCAAGUGUACCUUCCCAUUAUCAAGCCGGCAUUAAAAUGGAUUAGAUGAGUUGGCCAACUCCUAAAAACCUCUCCUUAGGAAAAAAAAAAAAAGAGGUGCCAUUGUUAAAAAAUUAAACCUAUCUUAGAAACUAGCCAAGGCCGGUAACCACUAAACCGGUAAGUUCAACCGGCAUAAUUGGACAUGUCCAGGUCGGUCCAAAAAUUAUUUAAAAAUAAAAAAAUACAAAAAUAUAAAAAACAUAUUUAAAACAUGAUUAAACAAAACACAUACAAAACCCAUUCCACUCUUUGCCAAAAUGAUAAAAAAUAUAUUAAAAAACACCUUACGAACCAUUUUCAUAUUUUUUGACAUUUUUAUAUAUAUAUUUUUAAUUUUCUUUUUGAAAGUAUCUUGCCGAACCACCAAAUCCGGCCAAAAACCGAUUCAGCGAGUGCCUGAUUCGAGUUUGACCGGCCUGAGUUUGCAAAACACUGGGGUGCUCCAUCAAUUUGCAGGCGUAAUUGUACACGAUUUAAAAAUAAAUGAAAUGUGUCAUGUUCAAAAGGACAAACUAAAAAGGAUAGGGAAAAGGAGAUGGAGCUGAAAUCUUUAAAAAAAAAAAAACAAUUCUGAGAAAAUUAAUGGAGAGAAACAUACAUGGUUGAUGCGUGAUGUCUGAGAGAGACUGAACACAACAGAGAGAGAGAGUGUUCAAUUGGUCAAUGGAGUUCCUAAAC